GGCUGGCAGUUCACGAGUGCCCACAGUGACAAUGUAGAAGCCUUUUUCUACAAGCUCACAAUGGUUAUGAUCUUCCCUGAGACUCAAGAUAGCUACAGUUGGAAGGAUGAAGUAGCUAGACCCCCAAAAAGACCGCUUCAAACAUUGCAAUUACCUGGCGCCAAAUCACUCCCUUCUUACUUCUUAGCGAAAGUAUACAUGGCAUAGACAAGUCUUUUUCUGAGGUGUUGUCCUUAAUCAAUCCAUCACUAUGUGGCUAGGUUGAAAGUGCUGGUUCUAGAGAUAUCACUUCAUCUUCUAGAGGAGGCUCUUCAUCUAUUUAACAAAAUAGAGUCGCUUUUUGUGUGUAUGGGUGUGUUGUUGUUUCAUUUAUGU